rnacentral:rRNA from 1 species
GUGGGGAAUAUUGGACAAUGGGCGAAAGCCUGAUCCAGCCAUGCCGCGUGAGUGAUGAAGGCCUUAGGGUUGUAAAGCUCUUUUGUGCGGGAAGAUAAUGACGGUACCGCAAGAAUAAGCCCCGGCUAACUUCGUGCCAGCAGCCGCGGUAAUACGAAGGGGGCUAGCGUUGCUCGGAAUCACUGGGCGUAAAGGGUGCGUAGGCGGGUCUUUAAGUCAGGGGUGAAAUCCUGGAGCUCAACUCCAGAACUGCCUUUGAUACUGAGGAUCUUGAGUUCGGGAGAGGUGAGUGGAACUGCGAGUGUAGAGGUGAAAUUCGUAGAUAUUCGCAAGAACACCAGUGGCGAAGGCGGCUCACUGGCCCGAUACUGACGCUGAGGCACGAAAGCGUGGGGAGCAAACAGGAUUAGAAACCCGUGUAGUCC